rnacentral:rRNA from 1 species
UCAGACGAUGCGUCAUGCAUAUCAAUAAGCGGAGGAAAAGAAACUAACAAGGAUUCCCCUAGUAACGGCGAGUGAAGCGGGAAGAGCUCAAAUUUGAAAUCUUAAAGGGUUUCCCUUUACGAAUUGUAGUUUAGAGAAGUGUUUUCUGUUGAGGUUUUGGUAAAAGUUCUUUGGAAUAGGACAUCAUAGAGGGUGAGAAUCCCGUAUUUGACCUUUACUUUCAACUUUGUGAUACACUUUCAAAGAGUCGGAUUGUUUGGGAAUGCAGUCCAAAAUGGGUGGUAAAUUUCAUCUAAAGCUAAAUAUUGGCGAGAGACCGAUAGCGAACAAGUACCGUGAGGGAAAGAUGAAAAGAACUUUGAAAAGAGAGUUAAACAGUACGUGAAAUUGUCAAAAGGGAAGCGUUUGACACCAGUGUUGUUUUUCUGAAAAUCAAUUAAAGAACUGUUUAUGCUAAGCUGUUUAGACUUUAUCAGCUAUCUGUUUAGUUUUAGGCUUUUCUUUAAUGCACUUUUCAGUUAACAAGUCAACAUCAAUUUCUUUUGCUGUAAAAAAGCUUGAGGAAGGUGGCUUGAGAUUCGUCUUAAGUGUUUAUAGCCUCUUGCCUAUGCAGUCGGAGAGAUUGAGGUCUGCAGCGUAGAUCCUUCGGGGCUAAAUGCAUUUGUGCUAAGUUAUAGCAUUUUAUAGACAACUUGUUGACUAUGAUUUGUCUUGUAGCUUACUCGCUUAUGUUAUUUUACCUACGCUUAGGAUGUUGACACACGCGCGUGCUCG